GGGGGUAUAGCUCAGUUGGUAGAGCAAAUGACUCUUAAUCAUUGGGUCUAGGGUUCGAGUCCCUAUGCCCCCA
rnacentral:tRNA from 1 species